rnacentral:rRNA from 1 species
CCUACGGGCGGUGCAGUGGGGAAUAUUGGACAAUGGGCGAAAGCCUGAUCCAGCCAUGCCGCGUGUGUGAAGAAGGCCUUCGGGUUGUAAAGCACUUUCAGUGGGGAAGAAAGCCUUGGGGCUAAUACCCUCGAGGAAGGACAUCACCCACAGAAGAAGCACCGGCUAACUCCGUGCCAGCAGCCGCGGUAAUACGGAGGGUGCGAGCGUUAAUCGGAAUUACUGGGCGUAAAGCGCGCGUAGGCGGUCUGAUAAGCCGGUUGUGAAAGCCCCGGGCUCAACCUGGGAACGGCAUCCGGAACUGUCAGGCUAGAGUGCAGGAGAGGAAGGUAGAAUUCCCGGUGUAGCGGUGAAAUGCGUAGAGAUCGGGAGGAAUACCAGUGGCGAAGGCGGCCUUCUGGACUGACACUGACGCUGAGGUGCGAAAGCGUGGGUAGCAAACAGGAUUAGAUACCCUAGUAGUC